rnacentral:misc_RNA from 1 species
GAUGAAGAACGUAGCGAAAUGCGAUAAGUAAUGUGAAUUGCAGAACUCAGUGAAUCAUCGAAUCUUUGAACGCACAUUGCGCCCCCUGGUAUUCCGGGGGGCAUGUCUGUCCGAGCGUCAUUGCUGCCCUCAAGCACGGCUUGUGUGUUGGGCCUCCGUCCUCCUCCCGGGGGACGGGCCCGAAAGGCAGCGGCGGCACCGCGUCCGGUCCUCGAGCGUAUGGGGCUUCGUCACCCGCUCUUGUAGGCCCGGCCGGCGCUUGCCGACACAUCAAUCUUUUUUCCAGGUUGACCUCGGAUCAGGUAGGGAUACCCGCUGAACUUAAGCAUAUCAAUAAGCGGAGGA